UACGGGGGGAGCAAGCGUUGCUCGGAUUUACUGGGCGUAAAGGGCGCGUAGGCGGCCACUGCAAGUCGGUUGUGAAAUCUCCGGGCUUAACCCGGGAACUGCGUCCGAGACUGGAAGGCUCGAAUCCGGGAGAGGGAUGUGGAAUUCCAGGUGUAGCGGUGAAAUGCGUAGAUAUCUGGAGGAACAUCGGUGGCGAAGGCGGCAUCCUGGACCGGUAUUGACGCUGAGGCGCGAAAGCCAGGGGAGCAAACGGG
rnacentral:rRNA from 1 species